CGGAGGAAAAGAAACUAACAAGGAUUCCCCUAGUAACGGCGAGUGAAGCGGGAUGAGCUCAAAUUUAAAAUCUGGCGGCCUCAGGUCGUCCGAGUUGUAGUCUAGAGAAUCGUUUUCCGCGUUGGCCUGUGUACAAGUCCCUUGGAACAGGGCGUCAUAGAGGGUGAGAAUCCCGUCCUUGACACAGACUACCAAUGCUUUGUGAUGCGAUCUCGAAGAGUCGAGUUGUUUGGGAAUGCAGCUCAAAAUGGGUGGUAAAUUCCAUCUAAAGCUAAAUAUUGGCGAGAGACCGAUAGCGAACAAGUACCGUGAGGGAAAGAUGAAAAGCACUUUGGAAAGAGAGUUAAACAGUACGUGAAAUUGUUAAAAGGGAAACGAUUGAAGUCAGUCAUGCUUUCCGAGACUCAGCCGAUUCUGUCGGUGUACUUCUCGGUUGGCAGGCCAGCAUCAGUUUCGAUCUGUGGAAAAGGUUGGAGGGAACGUGGCAUCCUCGGAUGUGUUAUAGCCCUUCUUCGAAUACAUAGAGCGGGACUGAGGAACGCAGCGCGCCUUUUAUUAGGUUGGCCCUCGGGUACAUACGCGCUUAGGAUGCUGGCAUAAUGGCUUUAAACGACCCGUCUUGA
rnacentral:rRNA from 1 species